CAGCUAGUCCCAUUGGGUCGUGCCAGAGUUCCCAUGCGGGGUGAUGCCAAUACCAAGUUUGUGGGGGAAGAUGACUUCCAUACCCAUCAGAUGAAUUAUUCAGCAAGAGUCACAGUGAGACCAAGCACACAGGCCCCUGCUUCAGAGCCUGCAACCCAAACUUGUUUCCAUCCCUUUGUCUGAUGACCUUUCAACAUUGAAGUCAGUUCAGCUGACAGAGAGGCUCAAGCGACUUUCUCGAGGGACCUGUUAAGACCAGCUGGAGCCCUAGACAGGCUCUUUCCCCCACCUGCUAAGCAAAGGCAAAUUAGAGGCUGGUCUACACACCAGGACCCCUGCAAUACCUGUUGGUGUUUGUAGCACCUCAUGUCUCCAGCUGAGCCUGGGAUGAUUCCGUUGUGGGGCACAAUUUAGGACAGCUGUAGCCUGUACAUGGGGCCAGCGUGCACCAGCUGCCAGGUUCUUAUAUCUAUCGCCCACAUCAUUGUAGUAUCUGAGCAUCUCCAAAUCUUAAAGCCUCUCAGAACAACCCAAAGCACACACAGGCACACUGGUGCCUGCGUAAUGUUUGACUGAAGGAUUGAAGGAGGAUUUCAAGCAUGAGUACAAGAAUUUUCUUCUGACUCUAUGACUAGUGUAUGUCACAGUACAUAGUGGAGUAGCAGCAACACCAUCUGUCCAUGUGGUGAUAUUCCUAGGGCCUGAUUAACUGCAGUGCCAAUAAACAUCCUUGGGAAAAGGGACCAGAGCACACUAUGGAUCUUCGCAUGCCCAUGUGGGGGAGGUGACUCUCAAUAAGGCUCUAAUGCAGAGAUGCUUUUACAAAAGUGAGAUAAGUACCAUUUGUUUUAUGGCACUGUAAACUCUGAGGGGAAUCCUACCACUGGGAGGGCCUGGGACAUGAUCUUGCACAUUACUACUACUCAAGAUACUACAAGAGGGUUGUUGUCACAGUUAUUUCAGCUGAAGAAAAGAGAUGAACUGUAUGGCUUUUGUUUAAGAAAAACCUGUACAGAAAUGGCAGCAAAUAACAUUAUUCAGUAAUUACCCAUUAGUCAAGAAGAAUAUCUGUUUGUAAAUAUGACCUCUGUAAUAUUACCAGGGUCAGACAGACCAAGGGCAAUCGGCUGUGUAAGUGUAUAAAUCAAAGCUGUCUAGGGACUGAUGAUUUAAUUAACGAUGUUCUUCAACAUUCUGGACAAAACAAAUGUCACUCGCUUGCUUAAGUCCUGUGCUCCUCCCCUUUUUCCACUUUCUCCCUCCCUCCAUUUUUGAUAACACUUCUUGACCUUCUACUUCUUGAAAGCCAGGGAUUUCCACCAAGAGACAGCCAGUUAGGCCAACUUGUUUGAAUUAUCCUAACACCCCAACAAGAAAGAUUACAAUAGAGCCGUGACUGUAUUCACUUGCUGGUUACCUGGCUUUCUUAGCACAGUUCAAGAGUAAAGCAAUAAGUACUGGAAUGUAUGUAGUUCUUUUAUAUUAAGUACCUAAAUCUGCGAAAAGCAUCUGUUGAAACUAUUAGAUUCUGGGCACUGAUUCUGCUAAAUCACAUGUUUCCCGUUGUGGAAGGAAAAGAGCUUUUGCAAUAACAUGUAGAAUACAUGGAAUAAGUCUUCUCUUUCUUUCUGUGCUCUUUGGCAGUUUGACUGGCUGAGUCAAAGCAAGUUCUGUUCCUUUAUCUUUUUUUCAAAAUAUGCCAUAAUCUCCAAACUGAAACCGAGUAGGAUUUGAAUAAAAUGUUCUCAUUCAAGUAAUAAUUGAAUUAAUAAUCACACUCUAAGCAACAGAUUGUGAUCCUGAAGCCUGGUUUUUUAAAAUUGUCCAUUGGUGCCUUUUAUUUCUAGCGACCAUUUUGUGACUUUUCUGCAGGUGUGGCCACUGAGCUGCCUCAGGGCAAGGCCAAACCUGCCAAACAAAAGAAACUUCAUGUUGUGGAUGUUAACUUUAGUUACCAUAGCCAGACAAUGCUGCCAGUGGUAUGGAAGACAAAAUUGCUGUAGCCAGCUGUGCUGUUCACAGUCGGAUGGUUUCUGUGUAGCUCCAAAUGGUUAUGAAGCCAGUAGCCUGUUGUGGCCAAGGACAGAAUGAUGGAUGAUCUACACACAGUGCCCAAGUAGAAAGAAUGGCAGAAGUUCACUUCAGGGUUGUUAAAAUGCUAAUCUAGGUUAGUUAACAAAAGCCUAAUGGAACAGAAAAGUUAGGGGAAAUAAACACACCUCAUAUGUUACAUAUGUACACUCCAGAUUUGAUCUCUCUAGUUAGACAAACAUUUGCCUUUGGAAGUUAGACAAUUUAACAGUUUUCUUGUUUGAAUAAACUGAAUCAACUUUUGUUA